rnacentral:rRNA from 1 species
AUUGAACGCUGACGGCAUGCCUUACACAUGCAAGUCGAACGGCAGCACGGAGCUUGCUCUGGUGGCGAGUGGCGAACGGGUGAGUAAUAUAUCGGAACGUACCCUGGAGUGGGGGAUAACGUAGCGAAAGUUACGCUAAUACCGCAUACGAUCUAAGGAUGAAAGUGGGGGACUCGCAAGAGCCUCAUGCUCGUGGAGCGGCCGAUAUCUGAUUAGCUAGUUGGUAGGGUAAAAGCCUACCAAGGCAUCGAUCAGUAGCUGGUCUGAGAGGACGACCAGCCACACUGGAACUGAGACACGGUCCAGACUCCUACGGGAGGCAGCAGUGGGGAAUUUUGGACAAUGGGCGCAAGCCUGAUCCAGCAAUGCCGCGUGAGUGAAGAAGGCCUUCGGGUUGUAAAGCUCUUUUGUCAGGGAAGAAACGGUGAGAGCUAAUACCUUUUGCUAAUGACGGUACCUGAAGAAUAAGCACCGGCUAACUACGUGCCAGCAGCCGCGGUAAUACGUAGGGUGCAAGCGUUAAUCGGAAUUACUGGGCGUAAAGCGUGCGCAGGCGGUUUUGUAAGUCUGAUGUGAAAUCCCCGGGCUCAACCUGGGAAUUGCAUUGGAGACUGCAAGGCUAGAAUCUGGCAGAGGGGGGUAGAAUUCCACGUGUAGCAGUGAAAUGCGUAGAUAUGUGGAGGAACACCGAUGGCGAAGGCAGCCCCCUGGGUCAAGAUUGACGCUCAUGCACGAAAGCGUGGGGAGCAAACAGGAUUAGAUACCCUGGUAGUCCACGCCCUAAACGAUGUCUACUAGUUGUCGGGUCUUAAUUGACUUGGUAACGCAGCUAACGCGUGAAGUAGACCGCCUGGGGAGUACGGUCGCAAGAUUAAAACUCAAAGGAAUUGACGGGGACCCGCACAAGCGGUGGAUGAUGUGGAUUAAUUCGAUGCAACGCGAAAAACCUUACCUACCCUUGACAUGGAUGGAAUCCCGAAGAGAUUUGGGAGUGCUCGAAAGAGAACCAUUACACAGGUGCUGCAUGGCUGUCGUCAGCUCGUGUCGUGAGAUGUUGGGUUAAGUCCCGCAACGAGCGCAACCCUUGUCAUUAGUUGCUACGAAAGGGCACUCUAAUGAGACUGCCGGUGACAAACCGGAGGAAGGUGGGGAUGACGUCAAGUCCUCAUGGCCCUUAUGGGUAGGGCUUCACACGUCAUACAAUGGUACAUACAGAGCGCCGCCAACCCGCGAGGGGGAGCUAAUCGCAGAAAGUGUAUCGUAGUCCGGAUUGUAGUCUGCAACUCGACUGCAUGAAGUUGGAAUCGCUAGUAAUCGCGGAUCAGCAUGUCGCGGUGAAUACGUUCCCGGGUCU